rnacentral:lncRNA from 1 species
AUUUGAUGUGGUCAUCCAAGCUUGUUUUUUCUCAUUUCUGUUGUUUUUUUUUUCUCCCCCUUUUCCUGUCCCCACCUUUUUAUUUGUUUGUUUGUUUGUUUUUGACAGUGUUCGCACACGCAUGAGGAGAGUUGAGUUAACACAUCGGGAUUAUGACGUAAACCACGAGGUGUGUGGACGGUCCCGGGCAAGUGUUAUUUCCGUGCUGCUGAUUUCUCCUUCGAAGGCUUGCGGUUGAGCUGCUGCUUCGGUAAACUCUGGGAAGAAGAACACGCCGCUCUUCCUAGUGCCUCUGUCAUCGGAAUGAUUUUUUAGGUCCUACUCACCAGAUUUCAUUGGAAAGGCUCAACAUUACUCCCUAGGCUGCCACCUGGGAGGUGACACUGAUCCCCCUACCUACUUGGUUCAAGUGGCUUUCUCUCUGUGUUAACCUGUCUGCAGGGCUUGCUCAGGCAAGAGGAUCUGAAGAAUGCCUAGUUGAUGGAAAUUCAUCCCGCUCAAGGGUACUUAACGAUGCUCUUGAAGCAUUGGCGCUAGAAACCAGUAAGGGUUUUGUCCUUGCUAUUGUUGAUAUUUUGGUUAAUGUAUUAGAGACAGUCUCACCAUAGAGUCCAAGCUGGCCUCAAACUUGCAAUCCUCCUGGUCAGUCUCCUGGGUACUGAACUUAAAGGUGAUUACUACCACAUCCAGGCAGAGAUUACUAUUAAAAGGUUGUUUGUUUGUUUGUUUGUUUGUUUGAGACAGGGUUUCUCUGGCUGUCCUGAAACUCAGAAAUCCACCUGCCUCUGCCUUCCAAGUGCUGGGAUUAAAGGUGUGCGCCACCACUGGCUGUUUUGUUCCCCCCCCCCCUUUAUUUUUUCUAUUAAAAGUAAAACCCAAUGCUCACCUCACCUUCUGGAACCCUAUGCUGUACACAGACCUCUCCCUCAGGAUCUUCUCCCUGUGUGUUUCCUAAUCGCUUGACUUGUUUCUUCUGCCUGAGACAUUUCUUCCUUCCAGGGCCGUGUGGGUUUCAAACCCUGCCUCCUCCUUCCCAGAGUCUCUCCUUUCCUUAUCCUUCUAGAGCAGAGGAAAUUGGAUUUCUCACAUCAUCUCACUGCCUUGUGACAUUUAAGAUCAUUUACAUUCCCUUCCUGCCCCCACAGAAAACCCUUUGGGACAAGAACUGCAUCUGGUGACUCCUUCCAUUCCCCAACACCACAUGGCAUUGGACUUUGCACACCGAGUUCGGCAGAUAACACGUUAAAUAAAUGACCCAUUAGACAUCACGUCUCUGCCUGCUAUUUACUCUGCCCCUGAGUGUGCCCAUCUGGAGUGUGAGAUAAUGCCGUUAAGCUGCCCCUCCGGCCCCAUCAGCAGCCCCAGGUGAGGAAAGGCAAAGGCCAGUUUCAGAUCAACCCCCUGAGCUGAUGUCGCAAUCUUCCCUCGGCAAACACACGUCAGCAUUUCUGCUUCCAUAUCUCUUCCUACGUAUCUGCAGAAAACAGACUCCUUAAGAGAAUGGCUGGUUGUUGAAAUGGGAACCAUUACUGAAGGCACAGCCGUGGUCUUUCUUUCCUCCUCUCUCUUUUGUUGUAAAACCCACCGACAAGUGUUUUCACAAUUAGAAAUAAAGACAGAGAGAGAGACAGAGAGAGAGAGAGAGAGAGAAAGAGAGAGAGAGGAGAAAGAAAAGGAAUGACAUCACCUAGCCCUACCCUCUUUUGUAGGGAGCACCGCCAGACAGAUAAAUGGCAUUAUCUCAAACCUUAAAGCACUGGCUGGACAUGAUCCUCAAGAAUGGGGAGGUCCUUACAAUGGUUGAGCUUUGCUGAGAAUGAAGCCACGGACAUGAGUUUUAGAGCUAUGUCUUCACAUGUAUUAUCAAAAGUAUGCAUGUGAAGCCAGGCGUGGUGGUGCAUGCCUUUAAUCCCAGCACUGGGGAGGCAGAGGCAGGCGGAUUUCUGAGUUCGAGGCCAGCCUGGUCUACAAAGUGAGUGCCAGGACAGCCAGGGCUACACAGAGAAACCCUGUCUCAAAAAACCAAAAAAAAAAAAAAAAAAAAAAAAAGUAUGCAUGUGAUUAACUUAACAAUGCCACUGUGAUUCCCAACUGCAUCCAAAUCUGCCCCAGAGUUCCUGAUGGCUGUGAGCUUCCUAGAUUUUUUAAAAAUUCGCUUUACAUCCCGAUCACAGAUGCCCUGCCUUCUCUCUUUCCAGUCCCACCCUUACAAAUCCCUCCUCCCAUUGGCCCUUUCCUUUCACAGAAGGGGAAGUCCCUCUUGGGUACCACUUCAUCCUGGGGCAUCUAGUCCCAGCAGGACUAGGCACAUCCUCUCCCACUGAGGUCCAACCAGGCAGCUGAAGUAGGGAAAGGGGGCGGUUAAUGGCAGGGAACAGAGACAGAGACAACCCCCACUCCACUUGUUAGGAGACCCAUGUGAAAACCAAGCUGCACAUCUGCUACAAAUGCCUAGGGGGUCUAAGUCCAGGUCUCAUUUAUGUCCUGAUUGGUGAACCAGGCUCUGUGAGCCCCUAUGGUCCCAGGUUAGUUGACACUGUGGGUCUUCUUGUGGUGUCCUUGGCCCCUCCUACUUUCUCACUUCUAUCCCCCACUCUUCUACAA